AGGAAAAGGAAAUCUGAUGAAGCGAAGAAAUCUAAGGAAACGAAGAAAUUUGAGGAAAUGGAGAAAUCCGAGGAAAUGAAGAAAUCUGAGGAAAUAAAGAAAUCUGUGGAACUGUAUCUUCAGGCGAUCAAGAACACUAUAAAGAGACUGGAAAAAAUGGAAGAAGCCAACCAGCCUUCGAAAGGAACGAAAAAACUUUCGGGUGUUUGCAUAUGAAAAUAUCUGUUCCAUAAUUUGUAAAGAUGUUUAAGGAAAGGAGCCAGCAUGUACUACAGCUUUUACGGAGAGUUUUUGUAAGAUGAGGGAUAGUAGUUCUGUAGUAUAUUUUUUCGAUGAUGUGUGAACUCGAUAUGAAAGGAUUGUAUGAUAUAACUAAUAACAAUGUUGAUAAACAAUGCCAUUUACAUUAUUGUUCAUGUCUGAUAUAUAGCCGCGUAUUGUUUUGUAAGCUUUUUUUCGUUUUACCGACGUAUACCAAUCCGAAAAAGUUCAACUGUAAUCCGUAAUCAAGUUGAUUUACAAUUCAGAAUACGUAUCUCCUGAUGAAGUAUGAUUUUCUAGUUAAAUUGAUCGUAAAUUGAGCAUCUGUUAUCACACUUGUAUAGCUUUUAAAAUACUAGUUAAAAAGGAAGACUAUUGGAUUCGAGAACUGGGAACUACGAAACCCUAUGGUUGCAAUGGCAAAAUUAAUGGUAAAGGUAUUACAAUGCCGAGGAGUAGAGAGUACUAUUCAUCACAUUCAUCGAUCUACAAACAGGAGUAGAUAGAAUACCUGUACCAUAAAUUUGGACUUUGAAAAUGGAAAAGACCAAGAAAUGACAUAAAAAAUAAAGAGUUGUGACACAAUUGCAAAUGAAACAUCUCUUCACCAGAAACUAAAUGAUGCGGAUGUCAGUAAAUAUUGAUUACCCCGUAAGACUUCAACAAUUAGUAAAACCAAUACCGUAUAGUUAGCUAUAAAAUUUUUGCUAGUGACCGACAUGACACAACAUCAACAUAUACGAACAUGAAAUUAAUGAACAUAUCAGUUCUUGUUUUAGUAAUGUUUUGUACGAAUUUCGCUUUAUGUGAAUACAACUACAAGACUACUAGUGGUCCGCGACUAGAACAUAUGUAGUAUAGCUUUUUUUUCUUUAAAUAAGAACCCAAUGGAGUAUCAACCCAAGAAAUAUCGUCAAACAUGUUAAAUUUUAUCUUCUUUACAACUUAUAUAUUUCAGGAAUUUGCUGGUCAGAGCACUGAAGGACAGCCUCCCAUGCAGACUUUGAUAAUAACAACGAAACCAUAACUUUGAAUCAGUGAAAUGAGACAGAAAAACAGCAUGAUCACAAAGACGUUUUGAUCAAAUGUCAGCUAUAGAUCCAACAAAACAUUAUGGACAAUAAGAGAUCAGUUGGAUAUGGAAAUAUUUUUUUUACUUGUGUUUUGUUUAACUAUAGUGUUUGUCUAUUUGUUGUUUUUCUGCUUGGCUAUCGUGUUGUCUGUUUUUACUUGACUAGUGAUUUUGGUUUGCUUUCAAAUAUACAAUUUUUUAAUAUCAAAAGAAAUGUCAUCAUUUACAUUAAUGCAUUGUUUGAGAAUGCCGUUUUUUCAUUUUUGUUGCUAUGUUGAUACAGAUAGAAAAUUUACAAGAAUCUUCUCAUAAUCAGAAAACUAUGUUAGAAGUAUUAGUUAAUUAUACCCUUUCCUGUCUUUUCAAUGGUGUGGAAUGUGGCGACCAGCUAUUUGCCAAUUUGUAAAAGUUUGUAGCCUGUAAAAUCCAAAGUAGGUGAAACACUUUUUGAACCUAUCACAGAAUUUAACAUGUUGUACCUUUGUACGCCUAUUUCAUGAUGUUUAGCUACUAUUUGUAUGAGCUUAACUUAGUCAUAUCCUAACAAUAUAUUUUGUAGUCUGAUAUUCUCCUUAAUCACAAUUUAAUACAAAAUGAACCAUUUAAUGAUAUUGUGCCAUCCUAUUUCAUAAAUCACUCGUUAUAGUCAGCAAUUUAACACUAUAAAUGUUGUGUGUGUCUGGAGCGCUUUUCUUAUUGUAUUUUUAAUAUUACUAGAACACACCCGCGAUAUUGCGGGACCGGGACUGAAUUAAAGUACCUACGCCUUAUUUUUAGUAUUCGUAUUGUCAUCUGAUAAAGUUAUGCUGAUUAUAAGGUGCACAGUUUUCUCUGCUUUCAAAAUCUUUCUGUUUGAACCCGUUUACCCGGAACUUGUUGAUUAUUGGAAAACAAAAGGGCUUGGAAUGGUGUAAUUUUUAAUCAACACCAUUGUCCUAUAUAAGUUAUAUAUAAAGUUGAAUUCUUUGAUUUGUCAUUUUUACGUCAUGCUGGCUAACAAAUUGGACCUCGUUAUCUUAGUAGUAUAGAUGGAUAUAUCGCCGUAUUUUAUAUUCAAUAUUUUAUGAAGGAGUGUAUGAACCCUUUUUGUUUUUUAAAUAAGUAUGGUAAAAUUUUCAGUAUACCUGUUUAUUAGGUGAACAAAAAACGGUCUUUAGAUUUAGUAGUAUAGAGAGUACAUGUACAGUGUAUAAAUACUGGGGCCGGGAGUAGUUUGUUUUAAGUUCGGUACAGCAUGAUUAUUGUAUAAUGAGGCAAGUACUUUGAUUCAUUAUGAAUUAUGAUAUAUAUAUACUACUUGUUCUUUAACAUCUAUACUACUAAAUCUAAAGACAGUUUUUUGUUCACCUAAUAAACGUAUAACCCAAGAAAGCUACUGCUUACAUUAGACCGGAAAUAUAAUGACAUGACUAAAAGGAAAUCGCAUCGGAUAGUUCCAAAACUUAUUAAUUUGUUUAAUUGCUUAUUGUUUCAAACAGUAAUCGAUGUAAAAGGGUAAAAUUUUCAGUAUACCCUAUCAAGUAUAUAUACCCUUAUAUAAGCUUGACUUGUAGCUUUCUUCGGUUAUACGUUUAAAAAAUGGUCUUUAGAUUUAGUAGUAUAGAUUCGAAAAAUCAGAGCAUAUGCAUUAUUUAUAAUUAUUUAAAUACUUGAUUUUUUCCCCCAAUUUACGGUUUUUGAUAACAGUCUUGGUAUUUUUUGGUUUAUUUUUUAGUGUUUUUAAUAUAAUCAAAAAGCGUGUUAUUCAUAUUGUAACCAUAGUUUAAAAUAAAAUUAGAGUGCAAA